UACGUAGGCAGCGAGCGUUGUUCGGAGUUACUGGGCGUAAAGAGUGCGUAGGCGGUGCUCUAAGUUUGGUGUGAAAUCUCCCGGCUCAACUGGGAGGGUGCGCCGAAAACUGGAGUGCUCGAGUAUGGGAGAGGUAAGCGGAAUUCCUGGUGUAGCGGUGAAAUGCGUAGAUAUCGGGAGGAACACCAGUGGCGAAGGCGACUAUCUGGGCUUUAACUGACGCUGAGGCGCGAAGGCCGGGGGAGCAAACAGG
rnacentral:rRNA from 1 species